GAGCGGGGAAUUGCGCUGAUGAAGCCUUCGGGCGGAUUCUUGUAAUUCCUAGCGGCGGACGGGUGAGUAACAGGUGGAUAAUCUGCCCUGCACUGCGGGAUAACACUUAUAAAUAGGUGCUAAUACCGCAUAAGCACACACUAUCGCAUGGUAGAGUGUGAAAAGAUUUAUCGGUGCAGGAGGAGUCCGCCCUAUAUUAUAUAGUUGGUGGGGUAAAGGCCUACCAAGUCUACGAUCUAUAGCCGAACUGAGAGGUUGAUCGGCCACACUGGGACUGAUACACGGCCCAGACUCCUACGGGAGGCAGCAGUGAGGGAUAUUGCACAAUGGGCGAAAGCCUGAUGCAGCAACGCCGCGUGAAGGAAGAAGGUUCUCGGAUUGUAAACUUCUAUCGAUGGGGACGAAUAAAUGACGGUACCCAGGUAAGAAGUCCCGGCUAACUACGUGCCAGCAGCCGCGGUAAU
rnacentral:rRNA from 1 species